GAAGGGCUCCUCAAAUGCCGCCAAAGUGGGAGCCCAGGCAGGGGAGGUGCAAGCGAGGGCUCUGAGGACUGCCAGCAUGCUGUCACCUCUCACCAGGGUUGCAAGAGGCCAAUCUGCUUGGAGGCAAAUUUGCAUAAUACACAGAUGAGCAGAAUGAACAACCUCCAUCCCAGUCAUAUAUAAAGUAGGCCAGUAUUAUAUAAAAUAGAAAAGAAAGAAUGUGAUCUCACAGUUUCAGUUGGAAAGUAGUAUUAAUAUUAUUCCAGGAAAUGGGGAUGGUGAGGGUAGGGUUCACUGAAAUGCAUAACUUCUGGGCAAGGCCAAAAAAAAAAAAAUCUUUAGGUGCCUAUAAGCAAAUUAGAUUGAUUUUUCUUUCUUUCUUUUUCUCUUGUACAAGAAAGGGUUCCCUUAGUAUUGGAAAGGGUAUGGAUAAACAUUGCUGAGGGGAAGUAUAUUUGUAUAACAUCUAUGGAUAAAAAUUAGCAAUAUCUAUGAAAAGUUUAAAGACUCUUUGCCUUUAAAUUUGACUCAGCAACUCUACCUCUAGAAAUUUAUUCUGCAGAUACAUUUCCACAUGUGCAAAAUGGCCCAUUUAUAGGAAUGGUCACUGAAGCUUUGUAAUAACAAAAGAUAUGAAACAACAAUCAUAAAUGAGUAGGGAUUUGAAUAAAUUUUGAGGCUUUCCUACAACAAAUAACAUAUAGCUAUUAAAAGAAAUUCAGCAGAUCUAGUAAUAUAUAAUGAUUUUCACAUAGACCAAUGGAACAGAAUAGAGAGCCCAGAAAUAAGGCUGCACAUCUAUAACUGAUACAACUCACACACCGCUUCUAUUCAACAUUAGGUUGAAGGUCCUAGCCAUUACGACAAAGCAAGAAGAAACAAAAGGUAAACUGUUGUUAUUCAUAUAUGACAUGAUU
rnacentral:lncRNA from 1 species